rnacentral:rRNA from 1 species
AGAGUUUGAUCCUGGCUCAGGAUGAACGCUGGCGGCGUGCCUAAUACAUGCAAGUCGAGCGAGAUGUUAGCGCAUGAACCUUCGGGGGAUUAUGCUAACGGACAGCGGCGGACGGGUGAGUAACGCGUAGGCAACCUGCCCCUGACAGAGGGAUAGCCAUUGGAAACGAUGAUUAAAACCUCAUGACACCGUAGAAGCACAUGCUUCAUCGGUCAAAGAUUUAUCGGUCAGGGAUGGGCCUGCGUCUGAUUAGCUAGUUGGUGAGGUAACGGCUCACCAAGGUGACGAUCAGUAGCCGACCUGAGAGGGUGAUCGGCCACAUUGGAACUGAGACACGGUCCAAACUCCUACGGGAGGCAGCAGUGGGGAAUAUUGCACAAUGGGCGCAAGCCUGAUGCAGCAACGCCGCGUGAAGGAUGAAGGCCUUCGGGUUGUAAACUUCUGUUCUAAGGGAAGAAACAAAUGACGGUACCUUAGGAGCAAGCCCCGGCUAACUACGUGCCAGCAGCCGCGGUAAUACGUAGGGGGCAAGCGUUAUCCGGAAUUAUUGGGCGUAAAGAGUGCGUAGGUGGUUACCUAAGCGCAAGGUUUAAUUUAGAGGCUCAACCUCUACUUGCCUUGCGAACUGGGCUACUUGAGUGCAGGAGGGGAAAGCGGAAUUCCUAGUGUAGCGGUGAAAUGCGUAGAUAUUAGGAGGAACACCAGCGGCGAAGGCGGCUUUCUGGACUGUAACUGACACUGAGGCACGAAAGCGUGGGUAGCAAACAGGAUUAGAUACCCUGGUAGUCCACGCCGUAAACGAUGAGCACUAGGU